rnacentral:RNase_P_RNA from 1 species
UGAGUAAGAUAAACCAUCGCAGCUGCAAGAAGUCGAAAGACUGCAGGUGAGGAAAGUCCGGGCUUCACAGGGCAGGGUGCCGGAUAACGUCCGGCGGAGGCGACUCCAGGGAUAGUGCAACAGAAAUGUACCGCCUCAUGAAUGAGGUAAGGGUGGAAGGGCAGUGCAAGAGACUACCGCCUGUCUGGCAACAGACGGGGCAUAUGUAAACCCCACCUGAAGCAAGGCCGAACAUGGAGCAUAUGGCGGCCCGUCAGCUCCGGGUAGGCCGCUUGACCCUGCCGGCAACGGCAGGGCUAGAUGGAUGAUGGUUCGCGACAUAACCCGGCUUAUCGUCUUGCUCAGAAG